UACGUAGGGUGCGAGCGUUAAUCGGAAUUACUGGGCGUAAAGUGUGCGCAGGCGGCUUGUCACGUCGGUUGUGAAAGCCCGGGGCUUAACCCCGGGUCUGCAGUCGAUACGGGCAGGCUAGAGUGUGGUAGGGGAGAUCGGAAUUCCUGGUGUAGCGGUGAAAUGCGCAGAUAUCAGGAGGAACACCGGUGGCGAAGGCGGAUCUCUGGGCCAUUACUGACGCUGAGGAGCGAAAGCGUGGGGAGCGAACAGG
rnacentral:rRNA from 1 species